GCCCGGCCCUGGAGGAGGGCGGACCGAGGCACCUCCCCCGAGUGCGGGUCGCCCGCCAGCGCCCGCAGACCGGCUCUUGCGCCCCGCCCGCGGCCGCCUCUCGGCCUCGCCGGCUCACCCUAGCUUGACUCUCCUCUCGGGCAGCGGAGAGGGGGCGAGGAGGAGGAGCCGUGGAGCAGGGAGGGGAGAAAGGUGAAUCCUUGUGUCUGCAUCCGGAUGGCAUUCAGGCAGACUUUGAGUCCUUAUUGAGAUCGCCCAGCCUGUGAGUGACAUCAGGAAUGAAACUUGAACAGAAAGUGUUGCGCACUUCUUGCUGCACCAAGCUCUGGCCUGUGGAGGGCCUGAGGCCAAAAGAGAGACUUCUUAUUUCAUGGGCCGCUCCGCUUGGUCUCCUGCCUCAGAGUCCCUGGCUCACACUCGGAACCCCCCGCGGAGGCUCUUGGCUGGAGUGCUCCCUGGUGCGCGGCUGGAGCUGAGUGCCCGGGAGCACAGAAGG